rnacentral:rRNA from 1 species
GAAUUUUGGACAAUGGGCGAAAGCCUGAUCCAGCCAUGCCGCGUGUGUGAAGAAGGUCUUCGGAUUGUAAAGCACUUUAAGUUGGGAGGAAGGGUUGUAGAUUAAUACUCUGCAAUUUUGACGUUACCGACAGAAUAAGCACCGGCUAACUUCGUGCCAGCAGCCGCGGUAAUACGAAGGGUGCAAGCGUUAAUCGGAAUUACUGGGCGUAAAGCGUGCGCAGGCGGUUAUAUAAGACAGAUGUGAAAUCCCUGGGCUCAACCUGGGAACUGCAUUUGUGACUGUAUAGCUAGAGUAUGGCAGAGGGUGGUGGAAUUUCCUGUGUAGCGGUGAAAUGCGUAGAUAUAGGAAGGAACACCAGUGGCGAAGGCGACCACCUGGGCUAAUACUGACACUGAGGUGCGAAAGCGUGGGGAGCAAACAGG